GUUUAACACUAGUGACCAGAGCUCUAUUGGGUCCUGGUUAACACUAGUGACCAGAGGUCUAUUGGGUCCUGUUUAACACUAGUGACCAGAGAGGUCUAUGGGUCCUGGUUAACACUAGUCUACUAUGUAAGGGAAUAAGGUGCAAUUGGGGACAUAGAGAGACAUGGAGAUCAUUACAUCACCAUUGUUACUACUACAGAGGUGGGGGGA